GAACUGAAGAGUUUGAUCAUGGCUCAGAUUGAACGCUGGCGGCAGGCCUAACACAUGCAAGUCGAGCGGUAGAGAGGUGCUUGCACCUCUUGAGAGCGGCGGACGGGUGAGUAAUACCUAGGAAUCUGCCUGAUAGUGGGGGAUAACGUUCGGAAACGGACGCUAAUACCGCAUACGUCCUACGGGAGAAAGCAGGGGACCUUCGGGCCUUGCGCUAUCAGAUGAGCCUAGGUCGGAUUAGCUAGUUGGUGAGGUAAUGGCUCACCAAGGCUACGAUCCGUAACUGGUCUGAGAGGA
rnacentral:rRNA from 1 species